CUGCGGUGCAGUACCUGGAGUGCAGGCUUUGCUUGUUCUUAUUGCACCCUUGUCUCAGAGGUGGGAAAACUUUAGGUUGAAUGAGACUGAAUUUUCCGGAUCACCCUCUUCAUUUUGCUCCUCGGACAACUCAUGCCCUGUCCUGCUCAGGUGGCGGGAUGCUUUGGGAGGAGCGUCUCCCUCAGCUGCAACGUGUGGAGCACAAAAUGUAGGCUGGGGAAGCAGCUGUGAGGACUGCUGGGGCCAGGGACCUGACCAAGCAUCGGGGCUCCUCCAGAGCUGCCUGCCCUCCGGUUUGGCCACAUGCAUAGCCCCGCAGCAGCCUGGCACGCUUCCUUAUCCACAGGUAGCCAGCAGGUUACAAAUGCGAAAACAGUCACUGGUGGUAGUUGCUGAGGCAUUCAUUGAUACAUACAGUUGUUGUUUUGGGAAGGGAAAAGGGUUACUCUGUCCCUGGGAAAGUCUCUCGUUAUUACAAGUUGGUAUUUGUAUUGGAGGUGGGAAGUCAGUGCGCAAAUGCACGUGAGCCCAUCAGCAUCUCAACCUUUUGGACAGUAUUUAGCUACUUAAGAUACUAGAAUUAAUAACUAGUUUGUAGGAAGUUUUUGGUAACAUCUACUUAAUUAUUUAUUUAAAGUUUUUGGUAAUAACUACUUAUAUUUACUUACUGAAGUUCCUUUCUUAAAGGCUACACAAGACUGUGAGGUUCACAGAGCUCAUGGGAGCUAAAGGGUCUCCCUCCUUCAAAGCAUUGCUUCUGCUUUAGGUUCACCCUCCAUAAAUCUACAUUCCCAAAGGGAAACGUUCAGAUGUCUCCUUCUUUAGGUGGGUGUCUCCCUGCAACAAAUUUUGCACUUGACUGGGGAGACUCUGCUUUUGAACAGCUAUUUGCUGCUUUCCUGGUUUCUUGUUUAUGAGGAAACCAUAAAAACGCAUUCUGCACUUAAAGCCAUUCUGGUAACGCUUUAAAUUCUAUGCUUAAGGAUUCAUUUAAUUAAAGAUUGACUAUGGCAUAAACUGUAGGUUAAUUAAAUACCAAUCAAUUCAUGUAUAAAAUAAAUAUAAAAGGGCUUUGACUCAGAACGUAAAAUGAGUCUCCAAGAAGAGAUACCCCUCUUCCAUGCUGUGCAGCUGAAGAAUGACUUCCCACUGUAUCUGCCUGUCAAAAUGCUGAAGUACCUGUGUAAAAGCUCUGUUGGUGGAAACAAGGCUCUGAUUUGAUGUGGUUAGAAGAGAUUCACGGAACCUUUUCCAUUGACCACUGGGAUUUCAAUCAGGUCAUCACCAUUACUUUGUUAUGGUAUAAUUGCACAAAACUCUAAUUUAGGAAGGAGUAACUCUGAAGUGCUGUAGUUAAUUUUUUCCAAAUAUUUUUUGACAAGGUCCCUAAUCAAAUCUUGUAGAAUCAGUACCAUGAGGGACAUUAAAUGAAGCCAGCUUGUCCAAAACUAAUGGAAAGAGAUGGCUUCUCAUGAAACAAGUAGUUAAACUGCAGGAGGCUUUAUCGUAGGGUGUUGUGUAUGCUGAAAUUUAGGAGGGCUCCGGGGAGGAGAGGAGUUUUGGAGGGUCUGGAAGAGGAGCCCUAGGUGGGAGAAGCCCUGUGUGAUUGUCCCAGCGCUGUGUUCCUCCCCGGGCCCCUGAGGAUGUUCCAGGGCUUGGGUUGGACAUUCUUACGUUUAGGCUAAUAAAAAUGGAGUCUAAAUACAUUGGUUUAUUCAGGAAGAAAAUUAUUACUAUAAUUUCAAAAUAUUUUUAAGUACAUGGUUCCAUUAAAAGCACCAUUGUUCUUUUAUUUCCCGUAAGCACCCUUAUAUCAACGCUUUCCCCAGUGAGAGGUGUCCAUCUCCUCCUUUCAAAAGCUCUCUUACGUUGCUACAGCGCUGUCCCUCCCAGGAGCUCGAGGCACCUGGUCCGCGUGACAGGACUUAUUAGAAGUAUUUCUCCAGUUUUGCAGAAGGAGAAACGGGAGCUAAAACCAAUCUCAACUCUUGUAUUUGCUCCCUCCUCCUCCUCUUUCAUUCUGUCUUUAUGCCCUGGCUCCGAGCUGGCUGAGGACCGGAGCGAGGUGCCUUGUGAUCCCUGGGUCGGAGCCAGCCAAGCUGAAAGCCUGCGGAGGUGAAGUCCUCCGAGCCCGAUGCCACCCCGUUGCUUCCUGCUGGUAUCGUGCCUGCCACAUGCAUACAAGUGAUAUGGAAAGCAAUAAGGCGGCUGAUUUUUGCUGGGAGGUUCCCCGGGGAAACGGGCUCUACAGCAGUGGUGUCCCACAUUGGCUCCUAAUCCAAUCUCAACGGGAAGUUCAAUUUCCUCAUCAUUAAUUAUUUAGCUGUAUUUAACUGCUGUAAAUUCUCAGAUUAAUUUUUUUAACUGUUGAGCUUGAUGACCUCUAAAGACAUUGGCAUUAAGCAGUGCAAUAUGAAAUAUAGUUGCUUAAUGCAAAUAAAAGCUAACUCUUCCACGAGGAUUUGUGUGAAGGCAUAAUAACGGCAAAUUUAAUUUUUCCGCUAUAACAGUGAAGGCUUAUUGUAUUACCACCUUUGGUGCAGUUCAGUAUCACAAAAUGAAGGAUGAAGGCAAUCGCGGCUGUGCCGUUCCCUGAAGGUGAACCAGGCCAGGACUGGGGUGGGCGCAGGAUGCUGGAGCUGUCCCAUGGGUGUGCUGCUGGCCACCAGGCAGAUUUUGCCUUCCGUGAACUUCCCGGUGCAUUCGACUGCCGAUCGACUGUGCUGGUACAGGGGAGAGUUAACAUAAGUCAGGGCCCAGUUUGGGUUCCUAAAAAAUUUUAUUUCUCAACUAAUGUAGGGCAAUAAAGUCCUAAUGAGUGUGUAGCGAUAGGUUAAAAUGUCAUCAGUCACCUAAAGCAGCCAAAUGUGAAGGCAAUAACCUUUGGGCAAUUUUUGUCUAUUUAAAUACGAUGGAGCUUUAAUCUUGAAGAAAGUUAGAAACAAUGGAGACUUAAUAGAAAGGAAAGGUCAUCACUUGCGAAGACAAAUGAUUUUCUGAGUUAACAACGCACUAUAUUAAAAUGACUUCAGCCGAAAGGAUGACUUUGUUAUUAAGCAGCAACAGUUAUGUGCUUUAUGCCUUAACAGCCUCGUGGCCCCUUAACUCACCCUUAAAAUGACACACAACAGUGAUUUAUCGGAUGUUACCAACAGCGAUAUUGAGUUAAAGGUAGCACUUGCCCUCCUGCGCAGACACCUUCCCCUCCUGGACACGCUGCUGGAGGAGCGUUCGUGUCGCUGUUCUCAUCCCUGUAAGACGCAGCAGCAGCGUUUGUCAGAGAACAGGGAAGGAUUUGUAAAGUUUCCUUACCGAGAAAAAGGCACCAUAGAACCAAGUUUUCAUUUUCUGCUCCCCGUGCAAAGUUAAGAAUUAAAAGCUGAUAAAAAAGCAAGCCCAUUGCUUUCUGUGUCUCUCCACCCACGCUCUCCAGGCCACGGAGGCUCAGCAGGCGAGGUGUGUUUCGGGUGCCAAGCCUCCACCUACAAGGCCAGAUUUUUUUUUUGACCCUCCUGAUCAUUUUCUUCCAAAACCAUAUUGCUGGUAUGUCUCAGAGCCAGGACACAGGUAAGAUUUUAUUUAAGUGUUAAGUGCUUUGAUGACGUGUGUAUGAGUUGAAUCAGGCUUAUGGUGUCCAAAUGCUGAUUUUUUUUUUCUAACAAGAUUGUUCCACCUAGUCCAUUUUAAUGAUUGGUUUCCCCUUUUUUCCCUGCCACGGUAUGAGGCCGCUUUGCAUUCAUUGGCUUCAGUGACAUGACGGCUGCAGCACAGUGCUGGCGGCCGUGCUGCAGGUGGCGAUGCUGCACCGGGGCUGUGCAGCCCCGGCUCGGUACCAUCAAGGCUGCUGUGGGACAUGAGCAAAGUUCUCUGGCCUCUGUGGGACAUGAGCACGUCCUCCAGCCUCUCUUGGACAUGAGCAAGUCCUCCAGCCUCUACGCAGGAGAGGGGACCACAUCUGGCAUGGCACUGGUUAACGUUGUCGGAGACAACGGCCUGAAAGUACCGAAGAAAUUGGACACGUGUAUGUUGCCAAGAAUGGUCAGCUGGAGAUAAAUCACGCCUGAAAGAUGCUCAAAAACCUGUUUUGGAGGACCUUGGGUAUGCUUGGCCCAUUCUGCAGAAGUUCCUGGCUAAUUUCCAGCGUUGCUCUGGUGGUGGCUGAAUCAGAAUCUGUGCACGGGAGAGGUUAGGGCUGCUCUGGCGAUGCUCUGAGAAGAGGAUGGGCCCCACGCCUGCACAAGGUUUCCUCUCCCCAGCCCAAGGAAUCACCUUGGACCGAGUGAGCUCUGACACUUCGUUAUAUGGGGAAAAGCUCAUUAUGCAUGCUGCUGUGUGGUGGACGCCAGCCCCAGCCACAUCCCCAGUGCUGCUCUGUCGGUGACUCCACGUCGCAGGGACAUGAGCACUCUUGGCCUGACCUUCCCAAGCACACGUGCCUGCCAGCCGCCCCCUGCUUUGCUUAGCACAGGAAGAUGAUGCCAGCCCCCAGAAGCUCUGACUGAACCAUGGCACGUACUGGUACGUGAGCUCAUGAUAAGGGUGACCUCGCUGGCUGAGGGGACAGUCCUACAGUCCUACACCUUUGCUUUCAUAUAUUCUCCUUUCGGAGAUACAGAUUGGUGUGGGGACCCUGUGGCCAGUUUCUUGUCUUUGGGAGGCAAAUCUUCUAUAACUGAGCUCCAUCGUUUCACUUCCAAGGAGGCUUUUGACUGCUGCUUAUCUACAUGAUCCCUGGAGUGGGAGAGCUUGGACCACAAGGAGCGAGGUGUGUUGGCAGCCAGCCUCCAGGAGGUACCAAUGGCAAAAGAGGGAAGUCCUGGGCAUUUUGGUAAAUAGGGCAGGAGUUUUGGGGGUGGAGGGCUGAAAGCCAGAGAAUCUGUAUUGCUUUUGUGGGCAAGAUAGAGGCAUGAGAAACAAGCUGAUUUCAUGGACUUUGGGCUCAGCUGAACUCCAUUUUAAUAUCUGUAAAGAAAUUUAAACCCAGAUUAACCUCAACUAGACUCAGAUUUCAUUGUGAACAUUUUUUACAGCUGUUCAGAGUUUUCUGGUGUUCCAAAGAACAAUUAAUUCUGGUAUUAAUAAUUUGUUUCUUCAAAGAGUAUAUCCAUAUGGCUAUCAAGACAGUUUAUAUUUCCAUAAUUGAAAUCAUAUAUGACUGCUGCAGGAUCCGUGAAAGGGUUUUGGAGAUUUUGUUUUGUGUAUUUUUUUUUCCUACUACAUUACUUAGCCUUUAUUUGUCAGUCUAAGUAGUUGCUGGUCAUACUUCAAAACUGGUGAUACGACCCUGCUGCUGUGCUUCGUGAAUGCACAAUACGAGAUGUCGCGAUUCAGAUCCUGCUUUGUGGUCCUACCUGCUGGAGAUGCCUCCUUUGAAAGGAAAGGAAAUUGCUUUUGGAUAACAUCGCUAUCCCGUCAUAGCUGGUAUUGGCUGGUGCAGAUACGUGUUUACAUUUUGCUUUGAAAAUGUAAACACUAAUUAAGCAUUAAUGUUAAUGGGUCCUGGUUCUGGCAGGCUGGAGGCAGGGCUCUGCUUCUGGCUCUGCUCAGGCUGCAGUCCAUGUCACCCCACUCGCUAUCUGUGUUUCCUGGCACAAAAUAAGGAUAAUUAUUUCUCCUUUUCCAAAGAGGGAGGGAAGGGACGUCGGGGAGGGUCGUGUAAGGACAAAAUAUUGUGUUGUUGUGAAUAAAACUGAAACACCAGCCCUGUGAAAGAGGUGGGAGCGGUCUGUUGUCCCCAGGUUCCUGAGCAGAGGGGCCGGGAUGCAAGCCCCGAGCCCCUGGAGUGAGGCAGCGCUCAGAGAGAAAAAAUCCUUCACCUUUCCUGCUCUCGCUUCCUGCACCCAAACUCAGCUUUCCUAUGCAGUUUAUUGUGAAAAACUCUAUAGAAGGCCAUAGCGUGAGUGUAAGAGGCAUUGAGCAGUUUUUGGCGUAGUGGAAGGAAACCAGCAUCCAGUCCUGCUGCAGCGUAGCCAGUCCAGAUUUCAGUUUUAAUUUUCUCUAUAAAAGACUUCGUUAUCUGUGCUCCUAAUGUGUUCCCUUUCCAUGUAGCACCGCGGAGUGAAAUGGUCACCGUGGUGCCGCCGCUGUUGUCUGGUCCUGGCAUGGUUUUAGCCAUGGCCAAUUCAGGUCUUUGCUGGCAGAUUUUACAUUUUCCUUUGGAUGGCUUCGGCACGCCUGCGAGAAGCAAACAGCAGCUAUUCUAAUUAGGCGAGCGUAAUUUCUCACAAACGGGUCCUUUCCCUUUGUGAGCCCAUAGAUCUUCAAAAAAGCGUAAAAGAGCACUGACUGUCGCCUCCUUUCAGCCCUUCCACUGAUGAGGAGUGUUGCUACACCUAAUAAA